rnacentral:rRNA from 1 species
AUGGCUCAUUAAAUCAGUUAUCGUUUAUUUGAUAGUACCUUACUACUUGGAUAACCGUGGUAAUUCUAGAGCUAAUACAUGCUAAAAACCCCGACUUCGGGAGGGGUGUAUUUAUUAGAUAAAAAACCAAUGCCCUUCGGGGCUCUUUGGUGAUUCAUGAUAACUUAACGGAUCGCAUGGCCUUGCGCCGGCGACGGUUCAUUCAAAUUUCUGCCCUAUCAACUUUCGAUGGUAAGGUAUUGGCUUACCAUGGUUUCAACGGGUAACGGGGAAUUAGGGUUCGAUUCCGGAGAGGGAGCCUGAGAAACGGCUACCACAUCCAAGGAAGGCAGCAGGCGCGCAAAUUACCCAAUCCCGACUCGGGGAGGUAGUGACAAUAAAUACUGAUACAGGGCUCUUUUGGGUCUUGUAAUCGGAAUGAGUACAAUUUAAACCCCUUAACGAGGAACAAUUGGAGGGCAAGUCUGGUGCCAGCAGCCGCGGUAAUUCCAGCUCCAAUAGCGUAUAUUAAAGUUGUUGCAGUUAAAAAGCUCGUAGUUGAACCUUGGGCCUGGCUGGCCGGUCCGCCUCACCGCGUGUACUGGUCCGGCCGGGCCUUUCCUUCUGGAGAGCCGCAUGCCCUUCACUGGGUGUGUUGGGGAACCAGGACUUUUACUUUGAAAAAAUUAGAGUGUUCAAAGCAGGCCUUUGCUCGAAUACGUUAGCAUGGAAUAAUAGAAUAGGACGUGCGGUCCUAUUUUGUUGGUUUCUAGGACCGCCGUAAUGAUUAAUAGGGAUAGUCGGGGGCAUCAGUAUUCAAUUGUCAGAGGUGAAAUUCUUGGAUUUAUUGAAGACUAACUACUGCGAAAGCAUUUGCCAAGGAUGUUUUCAUUAAUCAGUGAACGAAAGUUAGGGGAUCGAAGACGAUCAGAUACCGUCGUAGUCUUAACCGUAAACUAUGCCGACUAGGGAUCGGGCGAUGUUUCUAUCUUGACUCGCUCGGCACCU